GGCUGGCCUCUGCGUAGACAUAUCACUACCGCUGACCAUGCGCAUUACCUUUUCGGCCAUUUUCAGAAUUUCCUGAGGAGAGUUGUGGUGCUGCAUGUUCAAUUAAGAAAACAGACUUAAUUGUCUUUCAAGAUGGCGCCAGUUCUAAGAAAUUUGCUUCAAAGACAGUUGUACAAGGAUCUUGGAGUUGGGCUAACUUUAGGCAUGAUUGCUGGUUUUGCCUGGAAAUUUGGUUAUGCUGACCCAAAAAGAGCACAAUAUGCAACAUUUUACAAGGGUUAUGAUCCAGAAAAGGUAGCAAAAGAAAUGGAAGCAGAACUAGCAGCUUUACAGAAAGAAUGAAUCUGACUGCACCUUGCUAGAUCUGUGGUAAUUCUGUUCCCAAUUUGAGAGGUGUGACAAGAUGUUAAGAAUGAAUAUUUUAGUAACAUAUUCUGUAGUCAGCUGAUUGCAAGCUUUGAUUCAUUUCAUUGUUAUAAAUACACCAACACAAAUAUGUACAAUGAAAAAAUUAUGAAAA